UGUUGGGCUUGAGUGUGGUAGGGGCAGAGGGAAUUCCCGGUGUAGCGGUGAAAUGCGUAGAUAUCGGGAAGAACACCAGUGGCGAAGGCGCUCUGCUGGGCCAUCACUGACGCUCAUGGACGAAAGCCAGGGGAGCGAAAGGGAUUAGAUACCCCUGUAGUCCUGGCCGUAAACGAUGAACACUAGGUGUCGGGGGAGUCGACCCCCUCGGUGUCGUAGCCAACGCGUUAAGUGUUCCGCCUGGGGAGUACGCACGCAAGUGUGAAACUCAAAUGAAUUGACGGGGACCCGCACAAGUAGUGGAGCAUGUGGUUUAAUUCGAAGAUACGCGCAGAACCUUACCAACACUUGACAUGUUCGUCGCGACUCUAAGAGAUUAGAGUUUUCGGUUCGGCCGGACGAAACACAGGUGCUGCAUGGCU
rnacentral:rRNA from 1 species